rnacentral:rRNA from 1 species
CAGUCGCCGCGGGAAUACAGAGGAUGCAAGAGUUAUUCGGAAUGAUUGGCGUAAAGCGUCUGUAGGUGGCUUUUCAAGUCCGCCGUCAAAUCCCAGGGCUCAACCCUGGACAGGCGAUGGAAACUACCAAGCUGGAUUACGGUAGGGGCAGAGGGAAUGUCCGGUGGAGCGGUGUAAUGCGUUGAGAUCGGAAAGAACACCGACGACAAAAGCAUUCUGUUGGGCCGAAACUGACACUGAGAGACGAAAACUAGGGGAGCAAAUGGGAUUAGAUACCCCCGUAGUCCCUGUCUCUUAUACA